rnacentral:rRNA from 1 species
UAGGGAAUCUUCCGCAAUGGACGCAAGUCUGACUGAGCAACGCCGCGUGAGUGAAGAAGGAUUUCGGUUCGUAAAACUCUGUUGUUAGAGAAGAACAGCGCAUAGAGUAACUGUUAUGCGUGUGACGGUAUCUAACCAGAAAGCCACGGCUAACUACGUGCCAGCAGCCGCGGUAAUACGUAGGUGGCAAGCGUUGUCCGGAUUUAUUGGGCGUAAAGCGAGCGCAGGCGGUCAAUUAAGUCUGAUGUGAAAGCCCCCGGCGCAACCGGGGAGGGUCAUUGGAAACUGGUUGACUUGAGUGCAGAAGCGGGGAGUGGAAUUCCAUGUGUAGCGGUGAAAUGCGUAGAUAUAUGGAGGAACACCAGUGGCGAAGGCGACUCUCUGGUCUGUAACUGACGCUGAGGCUCGAAAGCGUGGGUAGCAAACAGG